UUUUUUUUCUUCCCUAACCCAGUUUUUCUGGCCAAAUCUAAGUGGUGAGUAUACUCUUCCAAGUGAGUUAGCCAAAGCUUGUUUUUGACCUGGUUACACAGUAGUUGGAUUGUUUGUAUAUUCCUCGGUCAGCAUAUGUGUUAAGGGCAGUGAAGUAAGUUAGAAGGCUGGAGCCCUUUUUGAAACCAUAAGAAAAAGGAAAGAAUAAAACCCCAGUGUGGAUUAAUUGGUUUUAAGAGAUGGGUGCUCUUUAUGGUAACAGCUUGGGAAGGUUCAUUGUUGUUUCCCCUUCUCAUUUCCUCUUUCCUUCCUUGUCCUUUACUGCUCAGGCUAUUGAAAGAGAUUUACUGAGACUACAUUUGGGAAGUAUUUGGGAUAGUGACAAUGACAAUAGUGCUCUGACUACAAAGUCUGCACAUUUGAGUAGAAAUUCUUUAAUUAUGCAAACCUCCAAGGAGUUAUAAAAAUCUGUGCAGUUGCAUAUAAUCCAGAAUAAAGUAGUACUUGAGAUUUUGCUGGUUAAUUUUACCAUUUUGGAAAUUUUCAGAUAUACACAAAGAGAAUUACAGUUCAGUUUAACGGUUAUCAAUCCAUGACUGACCUGUUUCAUCUGUAUCUUCCUCCCCUCCUUUAUUCAUUUGUUUAUUUUUGUGGUGCUGGGGAUUGAACCCAGGGCCUGUGCAUGAAAGGCAAGCACUUUACCAACUGAUCUAUAUCCCCAGCCCUCCUCCCCUCCUUUAUUUUAAGGUCAACCGCAGGUACUAUUUUACCCUUAAAUACUUCAGUUCAUUUAUUUUUUUCUUUUAACAUAACCACAAUGUCAUUAUCACAUUUAGAAAAUAUCAAAUAUCCAGCAUUAAUGUUUUCCUAAUUGUCUUAAACAUGUCCUGGUACUUGUUAAUAUCACAAGAAGUUCUUCGAUGGUUAUGAACUGGUACAUGGAACUUUAAUCUACUGUCUUCAGUAGAGACAAACAUCUCUGAUUUCUUUUUAAAUGUAUAAUUUCUAGAGUCAUUUACCAUUAUGCAUAGGGGUUUAUUUAGGAUUUUUGUUGGCUGAUUGGUUUGGGAAUUAGAUUUUUAACACUUGAGUUAACUUAUAGCAUUUAAUUUAUUACUAAAUUUUUUUUCAGAAAAACAUUGUCAGGUAAAACACCUGUAAGCUGAAC
rnacentral:lncRNA from 1 species